rnacentral:misc_RNA from 1 species
AACGCACAUUGCGCCCGUUGGCAUUCCGACGGGCACGCCUGUUCGAGCGUCAUUACACCCCUCAAGCGUCGCUUGGUCUUGGGCACCCGCCGCGGCGGGGCCCCAAACGCGUGGGCAGCCGGUCCGGUUCCGAGCGCGCGACGCACUCGCGGUCGCCGGGCGGACGGGCUUGCCACAUCUUUUACUUGUAACCUGUUGACCUCGGAUCAGGCGGGGAUACCCGCUGAACUUAA